rnacentral:rRNA from 1 species
UACGGAGGAUGCGAGCGUUAUCCGGAUUUAUUGGGUUUAAAGGGUUCGUAGGCGGCUUUUUAAGUCAGCGGUGAAAUUUUGCAGCUUAACUGUAACAGUGCCGUUGAUACUGGGGAGCUAGGAUUUGGUUGCUGUGGGUGGAAUGUGUGGUGUAGCGGUGAAAUGCUUAGAGAUCACACAGAAUAUCGAUUGCGAAGGCAGCUCACAAAGCCAAGAUUGACGCUGAGGCACGAAAGUGUGGGGAUCAAACAGGAUUAGA